GACGAACGCUGGCGGCGUGCUUAACACAUGCAAGUCGAACGGAAAGGCCCUGCUUUUGUGGGGUGCUCGAGUGGCGAACGGGUGAGUAACACGUGAGUAACCUGCCCUUGACUUUGGGAUAACUUCAGGAAACUGGGGCUAAUACCGGAUAGGAGCUCCUGCUGCAUGGUGGGGGUUGGAAAGUUUCGGCGGUUGGGGAUGGACUCGCGGCUUAUCAGCUUGUUGGUGGGGUAGUGGCUUACCAAGGCUUUGACGGGUAGCCGGCCUGAGAGGGUGACCGGCCACGUUGGGACUGGGAUACGGCCCCGGCUCCAACGGGAGGGAGAAGUGGGGAAUAGGGAACAAUGGGCGGAAGCCUGAUGCAGAAACGCCGAGUGCGGGAUGACGGCCUUCGGGUUGUAAACCGAUUGCGCCUGUGACGAAGAGUGAGUGAAGGUAAUGGGUAAAGAAGCACCGGCUAAAUAAGUG
rnacentral:rRNA from 1 species